CAAGUACUCCCUCUGUUCGGAAUUACUUGUCAUCAAAAUGGAUGUGUCUAGAACUAAAAUACAUCUAGAUACAUCCAUUUCAAUGACAAGUAUUUCCGGACGGAGGGAGUACAAG
rnacentral:pre_miRNA from 1 species